GUGAAAAGCACCCCGACGAGGGGAGUGAAAUAGUACCUGAAACUGGAUGCAUACAAACAGUCGGAGCCCGCAAGGGUGACGGCGUACCUCUUGUAUAAUGGGUCAUCGACUUAGUCUGUCUAGCAAGCUUAAGCCGUUAGGUGUAGGCGCAGCGAAAGCGAGUCUGAAUAGGGCGUUUAGUCAGGGGAAGUAGACGCGAAACCUUGUGAUCUACCCAUGGUCAGGAUGAAGGUGCAGUAACAUGCACUGGAGGCCCGAACCGUUGAGCGUUGAAAAGCUCUCGGAUGACCUGUGCCUAGGGGUGAAAGGCCAAUCAAACUUGCUGAUAGCUGGUUCUCCGCGAAAUCUAUUUAGGUAGAGCGUCGAUCGAAUACUCUUGGGGGUAGAGCACUGACUGGGCUAGGGGUCCUCAC
rnacentral:rRNA from 1 species